ACGAACGCUGGCGGCGUGCUUCACACAUGCAAGUCGCACGGAAAGGCCCUGCUUUUGUGGGGUGCUCGAGUGGCGAACGGGUGAGUAACACGUGAGUAACCUGCCCUUGACUUUGGGAUAACUUCAGGAAACUGGGGCUAAUACCGGAUAGGAGCUCCUGCUGCAUGGUGGGGGUUGGAAAGUUUCGGCGGUUGGGGAUGGACUCGCGGCUUAUCAGCUUGUUGGUGGGGUAGUGGCUUACCAAGGCUUUGACGGGUAGCCGGCCUGAGAGGGUGACCGGCCACAUUGGGACUGAGAUACGGCCCAGACUCCUACGGGAGGCAGCAGUGGGGAAUAUUGCACAAUGGGCGGAAGCCUGAUGCAGCAACGCCGCGUGCGGGAUGACGGCCUUCGGGUUGUAAACCGCUUUCGCCUGUGACGAGGCGUGAGUGACGGUAAUGGGUAAAGAAGCACCGGCUAACUACGUG
rnacentral:rRNA from 1 species